rnacentral:rRNA from 1 species
GACGAACGCUGGCGGCGUGCUUAACACAUGCAAGUCGAGCGGAGCGGCGAACGGGGGAGUAACGCGUGAGUAAUUGCCCCCCUCUCUGGGAUGACAGUUGGCAACGGCUGCUAAUACCGGAUAGUGGGGGCUGACUCGCGGCCUAUCAGCUUGUUGGUGGGGUAGUGGACUACCAAGGCGACGACGGGUAGCCGGCCUGGGAGGGCGACCGGCCACAUUGGUCUGCGAUACGUCCCAAACUCCUACGGGGGGCAGCGGUGGGGAAUAUUGCACAAUGGGGGAAACCCUGAUGAGGCAACGCCGCGUGCGGGAUGACGGCCUUCGGGUUGGAAACCGCUUUCAGCCAUGACGCGGUAGUGGCAGAAGAAGCACCGGCUAACUACGUGCCAGCAGCCGCGGUAAUAC